rnacentral:rRNA from 1 species
AUUUAAAGAAAGCGUAAUAGCUCACUGGUCGAGUCGGCCUGCGCGGAAGAUGUAACGGGGCUAAACCAUGCACCGAAGCUGCGGCAGCGACGCUUAGGCGUUGUUGGGUAGGGGAGCGUUCUGUAAGCCGUUGAAGGUGUGCUGUGAGGCAUGCUGGAGGUAUCAGAAGUGCGAAUGCUGACAUAAGUAACGAUAAAGCGGGUGAAAAGCCCGCUCGCCGGAAGACCAAGGGUUCCUGUCCAACGUU